CUUGCUCCUCUGACGUUAGCGGCGGACGGGUGAGUAACACGUGGAUAACCUACCUAUAAGACUGGGAUAACUUCGGGAAACCGGAGCUAAUACCGGAUAAUAUAUUGAACCGCAUGGUUCAAUAGUGAAAGACGGCUUUGCUGUCACUUAUAGAUGGAUCCGCGCCGCAUUGGCUAGUUGGUAAGGUAACGGCUUACCAAGGCAACGAUGCGUAGCCGACCUGAGAGGGUGAUCGGCCACACUGGAACUGAGACACGGUCCAGACUCCUACGGGAGGCAGCAGUAGGGAAUCUUCCGCAAUGGGCGAAAGCUUGACGGAGCAACGCCGCGUGAGUGAUGAAGGUCUUCGGAUCGUAAAACUCUGUUAUUAGGGAAGAACAAAUGUGUAAGUAACUAUGCACGUCUUGACGGUACCUAAUCAGAAAGCCACGGCUAACUACGUGCCAGCAGCCGCGGUAAUACGUAGGUGGCAAGCGUUAUCCGGAAUUAUUGGGCGUAAAGCGCGCGUAGGCGGUUUUUUAAGUCUGAUGUGAAAGCCCACGGCUCAACCGUGGAGGGUCAUUGGAAACUGGAAAACUUGAGUGCAGAAGAGGAAAGUGGAAUUCCAUGUGUAGCGGUGAAAUGCGCAGAGAUAUGGAGGAACACCAGUGGCGAAGGCGACUUUCUGGUCUGUAACUGACGCUGAUGUGCGAAAGCGUGGGGAUCAAACAGGAUUAGAUAUCCCUGGUAGUCCACGCCGUAAACGAUGAGUGCUAAGUGUUAGGGGGUUUCCGCCCCU
rnacentral:rRNA from 1 species